GACGAACGCUGGCGGCAUGCCUAAUACAUGCAAGUCGAACGCGACCAUCCGGUGCUUGCACUGGUGAAGUCGAGUGGCGAACGGGUGAGUAACACGUGAGAAACCUACCCUGGAGUGGGGAAUAACUCGAAGAAAUUCGAGCUAAUACCGCAUACCUUCUUACCGCCGAAUGGUGGUUUGAAGAAAGAUUUAUCGCUCUGGGAGGGUCUCGCGGCCUAUCAGCUAGUUGAUGAGGUAACGGCUCACCAAGGCAUCGACGGGUAGCUGGUCUGAGAGGACGAUCAGCCACACUGGAACUGAGACACGGUCCAGACUCCUACGGGAGGCAGCAGUAGGGAAUCUUGCGCAAUGGGCGAAAGCCUGACGCAGCAAUGCCGCGUGCGGGACGAAGGCCCUAGGGUCGUAAACCGCUUUCAGUAGGGACGAAAAUAGACGGUACCUGCAGAAGAAGCUCCGGCCAACUACGUGCCAGCAG
rnacentral:rRNA from 1 species